CAGGGUUACACUGCACUCCACUUGGCUGCCCUGCAUGGACACCCUCACAUCAUCCAGCUCCUCAUCAAUAACUACAAUGCCAAGGCCAACAUCAGAGACUACCAUGGGAAAAUGGCGGUGCAUUACUGGACUGGCAGCACGGAUGUCUUCAAUAAGCCAGGCUCUCAGUCAGGUGGGAAGUGGUCAAGAGGAAGGCGAGCCCAGAGGUACACCCAUUUCUCCUCUCUGCUGAUGUCUCGCUCACGGAGCCAAGGCCAUCUGAACAUGGAGCUGGACACUCCGCCCCUGUCUCAGGCCCGUGCCCACUCCCCAUCCUGAAGCUCCCCACUCACACGUCCAGUCAGGGGACUUCCCCCGGGAGCUGAGGACCUCCCCAUCAUACUGGUCCUUCUCACAUCAUGCCACUCAGCACUUACUGAAGGAAAAAGCAGACAUCUCACCUUUAACUUCAGUGAAGCUCAGACCUCUAACAUGGCAUGUAGAUAUUUUUUUUUAGUAAAAACGUGGUGGGGAAAUGUAUAGUUAUGAAUAUUUAACUUUGGUUCUCUGAAGGAAAACAUGAGAUGUUAACCAAUGGGAAGUCAUCACCGCAUGACUUCAUCAAUCUGAAUCUCCAAUCACUUGUCUUUGAGAACUUUUCAGGCCUAACACUAUAUGAGGGCUCCCAUCAGUAAACUAGUCCUCUUUUCAAUCUUCGAGAAACCAACAUAUUUUGCCUUGCCAUCUUUUAGCCUGUUUUUUUGUCUAUGUUUUGGUAAAUAUGGCAACCUUAAGGGCAGAACAAAUACUAUACUCCAGUAUUCAUACAAGGCCUAGUGCCAGAUAGUUCUAAUGAUAUCUGAUAUACCACAGUCCACUGGAGUUGUGUAAUUAGGCUGUCAGCAGAGCCUUGGUGCCUACAGCCUGCAGUGUGCCAGCCCAGCCAAAAAACAUCAUCUAUUUAAACCCAAUACAUACAGAGGCAUGCGAUAGCUUGCAUGAACAAUGGCAGUGGAGGAGAAGGGGAUUGUUUGAGAGGACACGUCUCAGUAUCUUGCACAUUAUAGCAAGUCUCUGUGUUCUGUUUACCAGACACUUCUGGCUGUAAGGUGCACUCAUCUCGGCUGUGUUCUGUCCGGUGAUGUGCAGACCAUGACAGGGUCUUUUGUAGCUGCAGGUGAUUGGAGUUCAUUGUGACUGUGUGGUGGACACACACAGAUGGUCAGCUCAGGGUACGAUUUCUUCCUGAUGGAUUAUUUGGGGUAGAGUUACCUAUCUGGUGAUGCACUGGCCUCUCUCUGUGUGACUUGAAUGUCAUGUGACUGCAUAGAAGGAGACAGAGAAGAAGAGAAAUGAUGUAAGAGAAACUCAACACAAAAGGCCACACAAAUAACUGUACUUACUGUUAUUACAAGGAAUCUAUUGAGCUACAGUAUGUGAUCACUACGCCAGAUGGUACUGACAUCACAGUAAAGAAUACACACAGGUGUAAAACAUGUCGCUCUACUAGUCAAGAGACGUCUGAUAACUGACAGAAAGUCAGUCCAUUUAUCUAUUCUCAGUCAUCCAAAUGUGUUAAAUAGACAGAGGAGUCUACAAAGAGUGUAAUUGUAUGUUUAGAGUGAUUUGGCAUAUUCAUGGUAUGGGACAUUUUAGAACACAUUUUAAUUUAUUUUGUAUUUUAUUGUAUUUUGUAUUUUGUUUUGCAUUAUCUGUGAUAGUGAGACAGAGAGGUACUGUUUCAUAUCUACUGUAUAUCUAGUAAUCCUUUAGUAGUUGGGAUUAUUUGCAGUAUUAAAGUGAGUUUUUCCAACAGCA